GCAAGUCGAGCGCCCUACUUCAGUAGGGAGCGGCGGACGGGUGAGUAACACGUAGGUAAUCUACCCUUUGGUGGGGAAUAGCCCGAGGAAACUCGGAUUAAUACCGCAUAUGGUCCACGGAUCAAAGCCUUCGGGCGCCAGAGGAUGAGCCUGCGUCCCAUUACCUAGUUGGUAGGGUAACGGCCUACCAAGGGAGCGAUGGGUAGCUGGUCUGAGAGGAUGAUC
rnacentral:rRNA from 1 species